rnacentral:siRNA from 1 species
CCCUAUCAUAAUUCAAAUACGGU